AUGAACGCUGGCGGCGUGCCUAAUACCUGCAAGUCGAGCGAACAGACGAGGAGCUUGCUCCUCUGACGUUAGCGGCGGACGGGUGAGUAACACGUGGAUAACCUACCUAUAAGACUGGGAUAACUUCGGGAAACCGGAGCUAAUACCGGAUAAUAUAUUGAACCGCAUGGUUCAAUAGUUAAAGACGGUUUUGCUGUCACUUAUAGAUGGAUCCGCGCCGCAUUAGCUAGUUGGUAAGGUAACGGCUUACCAAGGCAACGAUGCGUAGCCGACCUGAGAGGGUGAUCGGCCACACUGGAACUGAGACACGGUCCAGACUCCUACGGGAGGCAGCAGUAGGGAAUCUUCCGCAAUGGGCGAAAGCUUGACGGAGCAACGCCGCGUGAGUGAUGAAGGUCUUCGGAUCGUAAAACUCUGUUAUUAGGGAAGAACAAAUGUGUAAGUAACUAUGCACGUCUUGACGGUACCUAAUCAGAAAGCCACGGCUAACUACGUG
rnacentral:rRNA from 1 species